rnacentral:rRNA from 1 species
AACGAACGCUGGCGGCAUGCCUAACACAUGCAAGUCGAACGAGACCUUCGGGUCUAGUGGCGCACGGGUGCGUAACGCGUGGGAAUCUGCCCUUGGGUUCGGAAUAACAGUGAGAAAUUACUGCUAAUACCGGAUGAUGUCUUCGGACCAAAGAUUUAUCGCCCAGGGAUGAGCCCGCGUAGGAUUAGCUAGUUGGUGGGGUAAUGGCCUACCAAGGCGACGAUCCUUAGCUGGUCUGAGAGGAUGAUCAGCCACACUGGGACAGAGACACGGCCCAGACUCCUACGGGAGGCAGCAGUGGGGAAUAUUGGACAAUGGGCGCAAGCCUGAUCCAGCAAUGCCGCGUGAGUGAUGAAGGCCUUAGGGUUGUAAAUCUCUUUUACCCGGGAUGAUAAUGACAGUACUGGGAGAAUAAGCUCCGGCUAACUCCGUG